ensembl:lncRNA
AUUCAGAUUUAUUACAUGUAAAUUGUAAACCUUGUACAGCCAAGUGAUUAAAGUGAAAGGUUUGCAGUUCUGGCUGCUGGUUUUAUUGGUAAGUCCAGGAUGUCCAACAAAGUAAUUUCUGAAAUCUCAGACAAUAAAGCAACAGAAUAACUAUAUAGCAGUAGUUUAUAAUAAGCUUCAAUGGGCCAUUUUUUUACGGGAGGACAGUCUCUUCCUGUAAUGGUAAUAACAAUAAGAAUAUAUUUUUAAACUAAAUCAGAACUUUGGACUGAGGGACAAUGGGAGAAAGAAACAGAGGCGAAGAGACAAAGAGAGUGAGGAAAAUGAGGCCAGAAGGGAGUGAAAGACGAAGUUUGGAAGGCGACUGAGGCAGGAGGGAGUAACUUUGUGGGGGAGUUGGUCAGCUCUCCCCUUCGUAUCCCUAUCAAAACUUGGCUGCCAUUCAGAACUACACUCAGACCGUGAGCUUGGGCCUGUAUUAAUCAUAAUGUGGGGAUUAAAUCCUCUAUACCACGCUAUGGAGCCUUGAAGGUUGUUCUUUAAAGCCUUGAUGGACCUUUUCUCUGCACUCUCUAUCACGCCACACGGCUUACAGACGCCAUUACCCCCAGCAGACCCUGCAGACUUAGCCACGGAGCUGAGUGAAACCUAACCGGGGAGCACGUCUCCCAAGGGGGCGGUGGGGCGUGAAGUCAGAUUGAGGCCAGAUGUUGCAGAUGCAGAAACGAGCCAGCAGGACCAGGAUCCAUUUAUAGGCUCAGCCCGCCUUAUUGCACAACAAUGUAUUGAUAAUUACAUCACCAGAGCUGCUCUCUGACUGCGACAUUAGAGCGAGAACAACCCCAGUGAUUCCACUGUGUAAGCUUUCUAACGCAGGUUCCUGGAUUUCCUCCAUUGUGGUGGGUGUGACCUUGAGCGUGAGAGUGAGAAAACUGCACAUAGUGGAUAUUUGGACCCCUUUCCAUUGGACCCCCCUCCCUGGAGCACCAUUCCCUGUUUGCACAUUUGCAAUAGCUUCUUCACUGUAAAUAAAUGCACUGAACUGAGCUCUCCCGAGUGUGCACCCGACUCUACCAGUCCAUUAGUCUUGACAGUUCAAGGUGAUGAUACAAGAGUCCUUUUUCACAUGUGUGGCUACAGAAUUUCAUACAUGCAACUUAUCAGGAAUAAUAAAUAGAGUAGUAGAGUAGACUGGACAGUGCCGACAUUAAAACCUGCACCACGGAGUCUUUGGUCAAUAAAAAGACAAAAGCUUGCGUUAAACUUUUCCUAUAUGAUGACCUGAUCAACCUUCUGCACAGAGCUUUUCGUUUGUUUUUACGUAUAAGGCCUGUAAAUAUCAGUAAUUACACAGUAAAUUCAGUUUUCUGUUGGAUUUCGGGUAUGUCUGCAAGAAGUUGUUUUGUUCAUCUUGGGAUAUUAUAUGCAGCCAAAGAAUUUCAUGCACGCUGAUCCCUUCAGAUGGAACUCCUAAGCAUGUGCUUUGGAGUUAAAACUUCGGUAUUGUUUUCAUGAAACUCUCUGAAAUUUGCUACAGCACCCUGGAUCCUGUAGCAAAAGUUUCAACUUUUAGAAUAUUAAAGAUAAGAAUGACAAAAUAUUAUCUAAAUCUGACCAUUUUCCAAGAAGGAGUUCAUUGAAGGACAAAGCCUAAAAGUGCCAAAAAUGAUGCCAAAAAGUGACACUUGGAUCAGGUAUCAAUCUAAAUCUUACUCAACGACCCGAAUCUCAAAAAAGUCUCAAAAUGUCUAAAAAUCUUAACAAAUGACAAAAUGACAAAUAGACAAUUUAUUCAUUCUACUCUGGUGUUGUUCUAUGUUUACAGCAUUAACAUAGCACGGAGGAAGCUAACUACAAAGGACCAGCAGUUUGGAGGCAUUUUCCUUCUUCUGUAAAGAGUUUUGACCUCAACACAAACUGUGGUCAAGCACACUGAAAUGACUGAAAACCUCCUACAAUUGUUUUCCCUGUUGGCUUCUUUGUCUCUCUUGCUCUCACUCGUUCAGUGUAAUACUUGUUGGAAGAGAUAUUACAUUACAUUGUUGUUGUCAACUCAAUUAAUAUGAUUUCACCUCACCUCUUGCCAAGUGUGAUGCUUGUGCGUGUCUGAGCAGUAAAAGGAGGAGCCACGGAGAAACCAGUUCAAGUGUAAAAUGACAGCAGCAAGUAGUAAAGACUCAGAAGGAGCUGAAAUGACACAGCAGGUGAAUAACAAACAUGCUUAUUUUAGUUUGUAUUUGUUAUUGUACUAAUUAAUACACUUUAUUCAUUCCUACAGUUAGAUACCAUUUGUUAUGUAAGGCAUGACUGCUGAAUUAAUGCUCUUCCUCUUCCUUAUGGAAAGGAACACAGCUUAUUAACUUGACACCAGGCAGCAGGAAAAACUUGAAACUAGAAAAAGUUAAUCCCCAAAUCAAAAUAGUCAAGUGGCCGAUACACACAUGACCCCUUACAUCUGAACUCCUGCUCUUUAAAAAAAGAAGAAGAUACAGUUCAUUUAGGAUACUAAUGAUAAACCCAGCUGUUCCAUUGUUGCCCUGGACCCCAAAAUCAUAAAGAUUUAAUACAAGUGGUGAAAUCAUUCGUUUAGAUUAGCCUCCACAAACUCUCUAUGAAAGUCCUGUGCAUUCCAAAAUCCAACUGCUGAGCUAUUCUGAGCAUGUUUCAGAACAUGAUCUCUGGUCAUGUCAAAGGCAUUUUUCUCACAGUAAAACUCGGAGUAGAGAUCUAUAGCAACGAUAUGAGAGUUCACAAUAAACUAGAAGGCUAUCUGUGUUUUUUCAGCGCAGAAAUGAAACAAUAAUCCCUGCAGCACAAAUCUCAAAGAGGGAAAAGCUCUUGUUCUUCAGGCCCGGCCCCGCCUCCUCCUCCUCCUCCUGCUUGCAGGGGACAGAGAGGGUAGAAGUUAAGCAGUCAGCUCUCUGCCAUUGUUCUUGUUCUGGACGUCUGCGAACGGGACGGGUGGCGCUGGUCGGGUA